UCUAUAUAUAUUUUUUUU
rnacentral:snRNA from 1 species